UAUGAAGGGGGCUAGCGUUGUUCGGAUUUACUGGGCGUAAAGCGCACGUAGGCGGAUCGUUAAGUCGGGGGUGAAAUCCUGGAGCUCAACUCCAGAACUGCCUUCGAUACUGGCGAUCUUGAGUCCGGAAGAGGUGAGUGGAACUCCUAGUGUAGAGGUGGAAUUCGUAGAUAUUAGGAAGAACACCAGUGGCGAAGGCGGCUCACUGGUCCGGUACUGACGCUGAGGUGCGAAAGCGUGGGGAGCAAACAGG
rnacentral:rRNA from 1 species